rnacentral:tRNA from 1 species
GCUUGGCUGGCUCAGGCAGGAGAGCGUGGGACUCCUGAUUUCAGGGUUGUGAGUUCAAGCCCCAUGUUGGGUA